CCCGCAACGAGCGCAACCCUUAAGCUUAGUUGCCAUCAUUAAGUUGGGCACUCUAGGUUGACUGCCGGUGACAAACCGGAGGAAGGUGGGGAUGACGUCAAAUCAUCAUGCCCCUUAUGAUUUGGGCUACACACGUGCUACAAUGGAUAAUACAAAGGGCAGCGAAUCCGCGAGGCCAAGCAAAUCCCAUAAAAUUAUUCUCAGUUCGGAUUGUAGUCUGCAACUCGACUACAUGAAGCUGGAAUCGCUAGUAAUCGUAGAUCAGCAUGCUACGGUGAAUACGUUCCCGGGUCUUGUACACACCGCCCGUCACACCACGAGAGUUUGUAACACCCGAAGCCGGUGGAGUAACCUUUUAGGAGCUAGCCGUCGAAGGUGGGACAAAUGAUUGGGGUGAAGUCGUAACAAGGUAGCCGUAUCGGAAGGUGCGGCUGGAUCACCUCCUUU
rnacentral:ncRNA from 1 species